ensembl:snoRNA SNORD39 Small nucleolar RNA SNORD55/SNORD39
UGUGAUAGAGCAUAUGAGGACAUAUGCUGCAGAUGCCCAACUGUGCAGUGGGGAAGCCGACCUUGUAGAGCUGAGCAUAAA